GUGCACAAAAACAAAUACAAUCAUUUCAAGCAGCAAGCUGUGAAUGAAAUGCAAUGCACUGAUGAAAUAUCCUGCUCGGACCUGGCACUAAGUUGUUUCUUGUAAAUGUUUUACCGUUUAAAUCAUUUCAUUCAGUAAUUAAUUUGCCUUUGCACUUGCUCCAAAACAGGCCCCCCCUUUUCCUGUUGUUUAAGACAGAUAGCUCAAGGGCACAUGCACUCAGGGUUCAAAUGAUCACACAGAGUCAGGUGCAGCAGGUUCUCUGCAAAAAUCCCUUAAAGGAAUUUGCAGUGAACAUUUGUCCACCAGAAGAAAAUACUAAAUUAGGAGCUUUUGUUUUUGUACAUCACCUUGAAAUGUCUAGUAGACACCCACACAGUUAUUCACUAAUUGCGGCACAGUGUCCCCAGAAGUCACCAGCCCUAUUAGCUCAGAGAAUGCAUCAUUGCUUGCAAUGCUGUGAUUGGUUCAUUCUUUGCAAUGCUGUGAUUGGUUCAUUGCUUGCAAUGUGAGAAGGCUAUGGCUGCAUCCCCGCAGACCCAGGGUGAGAGGCACCUCCCUCUCAGCCGCCCUUCUUAGCCUUUCUGCGUGCGCAUCUUCCCCCUCCCAUCCGCACGUGAGGAGUUCAGAUGCCAUCAGAAGAAGUGAUGUUAUUCCAGAAAAGGGGACAACAGAAAAAAGAUGGAAGAUAGAGAGAAAAAGCAAUCUGGCAGAGUUGUUGUCAAAGGUCCUUGGACAACCAUAACUGGCCUAAGAACAUGCCGGUUAUUCGUAAGUGGUGGUGUGUGCUCCUUAUGGAGAGCUUCUCCCUUGGAAGGUAUGUGUAAGAUUCUGUUAUCGCUUGUUAUUUUCGUGAAUAACGAUUAACUCUGUAUUGAUAUACUAAGUUAGUAUAUAUAUUUUUUAUGUUGAAUACCCAUGGAAGACAGGUAUUAGUCUGUGUAUUCAAAGUUCACAAUAAUUAUGAAUAACGCCUGAAAAACAUGAGUCUUCGAAUACGUGGAAAGUAUUUAAUUCAUAAUUACAUGAAAUUAAAGGUUUAAGGCUGUCCAUGUGUUAACAGGUGACACACAGGAAGCUGAGAUAGGGGGAAAAAACAGCGACUGCAGACUCCCACAGAGAAACAGGUAUUACCCUCUGUGGUGUCUCCAGUGGAUUCCAGUUGUGGUCUCAUAAAGGAAAAUUAGCUAAAGCAAAACAAUUAACUCUGAAUUAAUGGAAAGCACUUAGUCAAUCACAUUAAUAAUUCCGGGUUUCUUUGAAGGAUCAAAGUCAAGUGAAGGAUCCAAUCAGAUAACGGUAUGUUUUCACUCUUAUUUAAGUGUACUACAGUGUACGGCAGAUUUGUUAUUGCAUGUAGGUUUCUGACAGUCUUAGAAAAGAAACAUUAUCAUGGCAACAUGGGUGUUGAUUGGAGUUAAUUGAACAAUCAACCCCAGCCACCUGCUAUAAAAGCAGCACUCCCUCAAUUGGAAACCUUUUUUUUCUUAAUAAAACCCCUUUGUUUACCUGCAUUGUUGCCCCUGGGCCAUCCUGUUACAUGCAUAUAUAGCGGACUCUUGCUGAGGCUCUCAAUCAAAAUAUAGCUAUCUUUAAAAAGUCACUGGAGUGCAUCGAAACACCAUGGCGUUGUUUUAUGCUUCCUCAUGCUUAACAAUUCUCUUAUGCAUAACAAUGUAAAGAGAACAUGCAGUUAGCCUACAUCAGUGGUUCUCAACCCUGAGGUCGGGAUCCUAAGCCAUAUACAGUCAAUUUACAAAAAGAUUAUUGUCGAACAUGUACAUAUAUUAGCAUGUUGUGUUGGUCAUAUUUAUUGUAAUUGAACGGUAUAAAGCAUUUGCAUGUUUAAAAUAUAAAGUAUAUGGCUAUUAUUUAAAGUUGUAUUUGUAAGGUUGUAUUUAUGCUCAAAGGUUCAUAUUGUCCGCAACAUUAUGGGGGUCACCAAAUAUUUUCUUUUUUGGAAUGGGGUCAUUUGGAGAAAGAGACUGGGAAGGGCUGGCCUACAUUACAGUGUCUGAGCAAGCAGUUUCUGAUUACACUAGUAGCUAGCAUGAAACGACGCCACAGGCAACACAACAAGCUAGCUGAUCUAUCCUUAAUCUUUUACAGAGUUGCGGUGAGCAGGAGCCUAACCCGGCAGUCUCUGGGCGUAAGGCGGGACUACACCCUGGACAGGACCAUCACAGGGCACCACACACACAGGGCAAUUUAGAGUUGACAAUCAACCUGAACAGCAUGUCUGGACUGCGGGAGGAAACCAGAAUACGCGGAGAAAACCCAGGCGAACACAAGGAGAACAUGCAAACUCCACACAGACUGACCCCCUAAGCCGGAUUUGAACCCAGGACCCUGGCGCUGUCAGGCAGCAGUGCUAACCACAUAUAAAUAAAUAAAAAUCACUUACAUUUUUACUUUUAUUUUGUUUCAUAAUGUUGUCCCUUAUUUUAAGCAGCGUAUGUUAGAGUAACUUAUGCUUUAGUUAACGCUAGCUGUAAUAAGCUAAUGGUAAUUAGCGAGGCUUGUUAACGUUAGUAAUGACUCAAUUUGUAGUCAAGCACUGUUAACGUUAGCUUGUAAACUGGCUAGGUUGGCUGAUAUGACUAAAUCUGUCACGUUUCUUAAUUUCUCCUUAUAAACUAAUAUGUGGCUAAUACGACUUUCAAUUUGUUGUCAUGCUGUGAUUGAUUAAUUGCUUGCAAUGCUGUGAUUGAUUAAUUUCUUGCAAUGCUGUGAUUGAUUCAUUGCUUGCAAUGCUGUGAUUGAUUCAUUGCUUGCAAUGCUGUGAUUGAUUCAUUGCUUGCAAUGCUGUGAUUGAUUCAUUGCUUGCAAUGCUGUGGAUUGG